AGAGUUUGAUCAUGGCUCAGGAUGAACGCUGGCGGCGUGCCUAAUACAUGCAAGUCGAACGGUCCCGGCCCUUCGGGGUUUGGGAUAGUGGCGAACGGGUGAGUAACGCGUGGGUGACCUGCCCCGAAGCGGGGGAUAACAGCCUGAAAGGGUUGCUAAUACCCCAUGUGCUGGGUUGGCUUAGCGGCCGGCCCAGGAAAGGCGAAAGCCACUUUGGGAGGGGCCUGCGUCCCAUCAGCUAGUUGGUGUGGUAACGGCGCACCAAGGCGAUGACGGGUAGGGGACCUGAGAGGGUGGCCCCCCACAAUGGAACUGAAACACGGUCCAUACACCUACGGGUGGCAGCAGUAGGGAAUAUUGCAAAAUGGGCGCAAGCCUGAUGCAGCAACGCCGCGUGGGCGAUGAAGGCCUUCGGGUCGUAAAGCCCUUUUGGGAGGGACGAGGAAGGACGGUACCUCCCGAAUAAGCCUCGGCUAACUACGUGCCAGCAGCCGCGGUAAAACGUAGGAGGCAAGCGUUAUCCGGAUUUACUGGGCGUAAAGCGCGUGCAGGCGGCGGGGCAAGUUGGCUGUGAAAGCUCCCGGCUUAACUGGGAGAGGUCGGUCAAAACUGCCUGGCUGGAGAGUGGUAGAGGGAGAUGGAAUUCCGGGUGUAGUGGUGAAAUGCGUAGAUAUCCGGAGGAGCACCAGUGGCGAAAGCGAUCUCCUGGACCAUAUCUGACGCUCAGACGCGAAAGCUAGGGGAGCGAACGGGAUUAGAGACCCCGGUAGUCCUAGCCGUAAACGAUGUAGACUUGGCGUUGGCGGGUUCAAAUCCGUCAGUGCCGGAGCAAACGCGUUAAGUCUACCGCCUGGGGACUACGGCCGCAAGGUUAAAACUCAAAUGAAUUGACGG
rnacentral:rRNA from 1 species